rnacentral:tRNA from 1 species
CACGGGAAGCUGGACUCGAACCAACCACAUUCGGUUUUGGAAACCGCUAUUCUGCCUGAUGAAUUAUUCCCGC